AUUGAACGCUGGCGGCAGGCCUAACGCAUGCAAGUCGAACGCUGUAGCAAUACAGAGUGGCGCACGGGUGAGUAACGCGUAGGAAUCUACCCAUUAGCCUGGGAUAACAGCGGGAAACUGCUGCUAAUACCGGAUACGCCCUUCGGGGGAAAGGUUUACUACUAAUGGAUGAGCCUGCGUUAGAUUAGCUAGUCGGUGAGAUAAUGGUUCACCAAGGCUCCGAUCUAUAGCCGGUCUGAGAGGACGACCGGCCACACUGGGACUGGGAAACGGCCCAGACUCCUACGGGAGGCAGCAGUGGGGAAUAUUGGGCAAUGGACGCAAGUCUGACCCAGCCAUGCCGCGUGUGUGAUGAAGGCCUUAGGGUUGUAAAGCACUUUUAGUAGUGAAGAUGAUGACAGUAGCUACAGAAAAAGCCCCGGCUAACUUCGUGCCAGCAGCCGCCGUAA
rnacentral:rRNA from 1 species